rnacentral:sRNA from 1 species
GAAAGUGGAGCAAUCCAUGAGUACAGUGGCGCACGGGUGAGUAACACGUGACUAACCUACCUUUAAGUGGGGGAUAACCUCGGGAAACCGGGGCUAAUACCGCAUAACCUCGCGAGGUGAAAUUCCUUGCGAGCAAAGCAGCAAUGCGCUUUUAGAGGGGGUCGCGGCUGAUUAGCUAGUUGGCGGGGUAACGGCCCACCAAGGCGGUGAUCAGUAUCCGGCCUGAGAGGGCGCACGGACACACUGGAACUGAAACACGGUCCAGAGACCUACGGGAGGCAGCAUUCCGAUCUUGCGGAAAACUCGAGC